CAUUCCAGUGAUGUUCGUCCAUGACUUCCUUAAUUGUAACAAAUCGACCCUUCUCAAUUGAAAGCUGUGCUGCAACUCCAAUGGCCACCGAAAUCAAACCAUCUUGCAAAUCCACUGCAGGAGCUUUCUCACCUUUUGCUCGAAUUGCAGACAGGAAAUUAAGGUGUUCCAAAUAGCUAGACCCAUGAUGCAGUCCAUCAUAUUUGAUCCGGUCAUCUUCAGCCUUCAAUGUUUGGACACCAUCUCUUCCUGCCACUCGAGUACCAUAGCGCACUAUACUCUCAGGAACAAAAGCCUCCCCCUUUCCAAUAUCACCAACAACAGAUAUUUCUUGCUCAUUUUUGCUACCUUCAGCAAACAUGCAAAGAUCAAGCAUUCCCCGAGAACCAUUAUCAAACUCGAUAAUAACAUAUGCAUUGUCAAUGAUGUCAGGUACCUUUCCAUCAUAGACUUCAUCUUUGUGAUUAACAUCUAUAGCCCCAAAAGCCAUAACACGAACAGGAUCUGCACUGGCAAACAGCCUCAUCAGAUCAAAGAAAUGGCAGCACUUCUCAACCAGAGUCCCCCCUGUGUUAGCAUUGAACCGGUUCCAAUUGUUAACCUUAACCAAAAAUGGAAAUCGAUGUUCUCGGAUUGCCACCAUUUUGACUUGCCCCAGAGAUCCACCCUUAACAAUUUCAAUCAGCUUAGCGACUGGUGGCAUGUAUCUAUACUCUAAUCCAACUUGCACAAGCAUAUCUGACCUCUUUUUAGCAGCAUAUACAACCUUCCUGCAAUCAGCAACGGUGGUGCAGAGUGGCUUCUCCACCAGUACAUGAUGGGGUUUCGGGUGGUGAAUAAUAUCCAUAAGAAUUUGAUAGUGAGUCAUGUUUGGAGACGACACAACCACUACAUCACAGAGCCCACUAUCCAAUAGGUCCUGAUGCCCUGAAAAAACCGUAAGAGGCCAACCAAAGGAUUGGGCAAGUUCAAGAGCGAGUUUUUGGGAGGAGACAUGAGGAUCUGCUAUGCAAACAACGGCCACGUUUUCUGUGCGAAGAUGAUGGAGAUUAAUGAGGUGUUCUCUACCCAUCAUCCCCACCCCUAUAAUCCCAUACUUCACAGUAUUGCUGGCUGCCAUGGAUGAAGAAGAGCUGGUUGCCUUACUUGAUUGAUCUCUUUCAAAUGUCUGGGUUCAUUUUGUUUCCUUUCUGGUCCAAGUUCAUUGGUAGUGAGCGGAAGUUGAC
rnacentral:misc_RNA from 1 species